CUCAUUUGGUCCCAUCUCUAACUUUUUAACCCUAGUUCCUCAAACUUCAUCUCUCAAACGCUCCAGCCGCCAUUCGCCAGGACUCCAGUUUUCCUCUACGGCCUGCGUGUCCGACUCCAGCAAAACCUUCACGCUUCAAUCGGUUCCAGCUCUCACCACCAGAGUCACCACCUUCAGGCGGCUGUAGACUUUCUUUUUAUCAUCGCGUCGCUUGGAGGGGGCAUAAUUUCUUUUCGACUACAGAGAGAUAAUAUCUGUAGGUAAUGUAUAUUCUUGUGCUUUCUGGGCAGAAACUGGUAUUUUGAAGGGAAUGUUACAAAUUACAAUAUAUAUAUACAUUAAUAUAGGCUUUGUAUUAUUUGUUUGUGAUUACAAAUUCGUGAGGAUAAAGUUAUAGAUAAUAGAUCUGUGUUGAUUUGGGUUUGUUAUAAUUAAGAUAAAAUCACAAUACUUUAAUUUAAAGGUCAAACAUAGAACAAAAUACAAUCAAAUAGUAAAAAAAUACGGCCUGCAGUUUAUGCCCAAUUUAAAUUUUUAGUGUGUUGUCAUAAUGAUGUUUUUAUAUAUUCUGUAAUUAUUUAUGUAUGCCCACCAGAUUUUUCGGUUUGCUUUGUUACACACCUUUAAUUUUUCCCCAAUUGAUUCAGAAAAUUCUCAAAUGGGUGUUUAGAUUUUAUUGCUGAGAUAUAUAUUUGUUUUCAUAAAAUUGUGUUCUAAUUGUUUUUUGUUUUCUUUUUAGGAGGAAGAAGAACCUUUUCAUGUGAAGUUGAACUCCACUUAAUGUGGAAGAAGAUUAGAUGUUUGACAAUUAUUCUAUUGAAGUGUUAUUUUGAUGAAUUUGAAAUUUCUAUUUAUAUAUACCAUUUGAUUCUAUUGAAGAUUGGAUGAUUUGCAAACUUUUGAAUGUUAU
rnacentral:lncRNA from 1 species